GACGAACGCUGGCGGCGUGCUUAACACAUGCAAGUCGAACGGAAAGGCCCUGCUUUUGUGGGGUGCUCGAGUGGCGAACGGGUGAGUAACACGUGAGUAACCUGCCCUUGACUUUGGGAUAACUUCAGGAAACUGGGGCUAAUACCGGAUAGGAGCUCCUGCUGCAUGGUGGGGGUUGGAAAGUUUCGGCGGUUGGGGAUGGACUCGCUGCUUAUCAUCUUGUUUGUUGGGUAGUGGCUUACCAAGGCUUUGACGGGUAGCCGGCCUGAGAGGGUGACCGGCAACAUUGGGACUGAGAUACGGCACAGACUGCUACGGGAGGCAGCAGUGGGGAAUAUUGCAGAAUGGGCGGAAGCCUGAUGCAGCAACGCCGCGUGCGGGAUGACGGCCUUCGGGUUGUAAACCGCUUUCGCAUGUGACGAAGCGUGAGUGACGGUAAUGGGUAAAGAAGCACCGGCUAACUACGUG
rnacentral:rRNA from 1 species